rnacentral:lncRNA from 1 species
GGUGAGUUGUGGAUUAUUUUGGCUGCGGCGGCGGAGAAUGAUAAGAAUUAAGACAAUCACGAGACAUAAGACCACCAAACAAACUGCAACGAUCAACAUCACUCUACUCAGGAGAGAGGGCGACUUGUUAUCUAUAUCACCAGAUUGGGUGGUGUUGAUGGUAGAGUUGAGAGUGUUAGGCGGAGUAGUAGUAUUUGCUUCUGGAAUUGGGGAGUUGCAAACUGAUUCCAAAGGCUUCCCACACAUGCCUUUGUUGCCUGUGUAUAUGUACGCAAUGAUUAAAUGAUCGAUAUGUAAUGCAAUGCAAUUAAAAUAUUUAAUUAGGUACCUGCGAAUGCUGUUGGAUCCAUUAAUGAAAGAGAAGGAGGGAUUGGACCGUCGAGUUGGUUGUUGGAUACAUUGAGGAGUUUGAGAACACCACCGCGGAAAUCAGGUAUAGAGCCAGUGAAUUUGUUGUUUUGGAGGGUCAAGUCGAAGAGCCUGGGGCAGGAGGUAGCGAGGGAGGUGGGAAUGUUACCUGUGAAUUGGUUGUUGGCCAAAUAAAGUUUCUUGAGAUAAAUCAUACCCUUGAAGGCAUCAUCG